CGCGAAUUCGCCCUUCGGGGUGCAGCAGGCGCGAAAACUUUACAAUGCUGGCAACAGCGAUAAGGGGACCUCGAGUGCCAGGAUACAAUCUUGGCUGUCGCGAUGCCUAAAAAGCAUUGCAUAGCAAGGGCCGGGCAAGACCGGUGCCAGCCGCCGCGGUAACACCGGCGGCUCGAGUGGUAACCGCUAUUAUUGGGUCUAAAGGGUCUGUAGCCGGCCGGAUAAGUCUUUUGGGAAAUCCAGCUGCUCAACAGUUGGGCUUUCAGAAGAUACUGUUUGGCUCGAGACCGGGAGAGGUGAGAGGUACUUCAGGGGUAGGGGUGAAAUCUUGUAAUCCUUGAAGGACCACCAGUGGCGAAGGCGUCUCACCAGAACGGAUCUGACGGCAAGGGACGAAAGCUAGGGGCACGAACCGGAUUAGAUACCCGGGUAGUCCUAGCCGUAAACGAUACUCGCUAGGUGUCAGCCACGGUGCGACCGUGGUUGGUGCCGUAGGGAAGCCGUGAAGCGAGCCACCUGGGAAGUACGGCCACAAGGCUGAAACUUAAAGGAAUUGGCGGGGGAGCAC
rnacentral:rRNA from 1 species